rnacentral:lncRNA from 1 species
UUAUUUAGUUCGAUGUUUAUGUUUGAUCUUGAUAAGUUUACUUGAAUUUUGAUUAUGUUUUAAGAAUGUUUUUGCAGGAAUAAUUCAAGACUUCAAGACUCCAUAUCUAAGUCAUAGAGUCUGUGUUAAGGUUAUAAAUUGUAAUUUUCGGUUAUUGGAUCGAUCAUGCAGGAGAUUAUCGUUUGGUGAUUUCGAUGAUCUUCUUUUUAUUAUUUUUGAGUUGUGUACGAACUUUGUAAUAUAUUUUGUCACGAAAUCGCCAAAGGGGGAGAUUGUUAAAGGAUUUUAUAGGUUGGCGGAUUUCGUAAUGUUGAAUGGAGUCUUGAAGAGUUGAUUGCGGAAGAUUGAAAAAAAGAUCUAAAUUGAAGAACAAAGACUCACUCGUAAAGUUCGGCAUCUAAGGUAUGAAGAAAAGAUCAUUUGUGGUGAAGAUACUUAAUUAGAAUAAGUUCAGAAGGCUUAGAUUGCUUUAAAAAUAUUUUACUGAACUUUUCUGUGUUCAGGGACCGGUCCCUGAGUUCAAGAGACUGGUUCCU